GGAUGGGCUAUAGUAAAUUCCCAUUUUGAAUUUUUGUUUUCAGCGUCAACCUAUAUUUAUAUUUUUCAAUUUCCUAGAUACCUGAACAGACGAAAUUUAAAGUUAAAAAAUUGACGCCGAGAAUGCCAGUCUAAAUAUUCUUUAGAAUUGUGUGUAGUAAGUUUAUUAUUUUAAACUCUAAAUCAUUUAAUGAUAAAUAUUCACAUAAUACCUAUACAAUUACUAUAGUAGGCAUACUAAAUUUCGUGAAGAGAUUGAAUAUAAUCAAUGUUUAAAGCAAUUUUAACCUUUGGAUUAUGUCAUUAACAAUAAUAAUUCAAUCAAACUAUCUCCCCCACCCAAAAAAA